CUACGUAGGGUGCAAGCGUUAAUCGGAAUUACUGGGCGUAAAGCGUGCGCAGGCGGUUUUGUAAGACAGUGGUGAAAUCCCCGGGCUCGACCUGGGAACUGCCAUUGUGACUGCAAGGCUGGAGUGCGGCAGAGGGGGAUGGAAUUCCGCGUGUAGCAGUGAAAUGCGUAGAUAUGCGGAGGAACACCGAUGGCGAAGGCAAUCCCCUGGGCCUGCACUGACGCUCAUGCACGAAAGCGUGGGGAGCAAACAGGAUUAGAUACCCUGGUAGUCCACGCCCUAAACGAUGUCAACUGGUUGUUGGGGAUUUAUUUUCUCAGUAACGAAGCUAACGCGUGAAGUUGACCGCCUGGGGAGUACGGCCGCAAGGUUAAAACUCAAAGGAAUUGACGGGG
rnacentral:rRNA from 1 species